GAUGAAGAACGCAGCAAAAUGCGAUAAGUAAUGUGAAUUGCAGAAUUCAGUGAAUCAUCGAAUCUUUGAACGCACAUUGCGCCCGCUGGUAUUCCGGCGGGCAUGCCUGUUCGAGCGUCAUUUCAACCCUCAAGCCCCCGGGUUUGGUGUUGGGGAUCGGCUCUGCCCUUCUGGGCGGUGCCGCCCCCGAAAUACAUUGGCGGUCUCGCUGCAGCCUCCAUUGCGUAGUAGCUAACACCUCGCAACUGGAACGCGGCGCGGCCAUGCCGUAAAACCCCAACUUCUGAAUGUUGACCUCGGAUCAGGUAGGAAUACCCGCUGAACUUAAGUAUAUCAAUAAGCGGAGGA
rnacentral:misc_RNA from 1 species